GCUAUGGAAGUUCGGACGGAGUCUAGUUCUCGUAGAAGGCUGAAAGGAGAUCACUUAUUGUAGAAGCUCGAUCGAAGAUCGAUUGUCGUGGAAGCUCGGAGUAAUGACUUGGCUGGCAGGUCCUGUCCCAUUGUAGAAGCUCGUCUAGGAUCUGGCUACGAAGAAGCUCGGCUGAAGUCUACCUGUAAUAGAAAUUUGGAAGAAAUGUGUUUACAGUAGAGGC
rnacentral:lncRNA from 1 species